GAUCGGCCCGCGUCUGAUUAGGUAGUUGGUGAGGUAACGGCUCACCAAGCCGACGAUCGGUAGCUGGUCUGAGAGGAUGAUCAGCCACACUGGGACUGAGAUACGGCCCAGACUCCUACGGGAGGCAGCAGUGGGGAAUAUUGGACAAUGGGGGCAACCCUGAUCCAGCAAUGCCGCGUGAGUGAUGAAGGCCUUAGGGUUGUAAAGCUCUUUUGGCGGGGACGAUGAUGACGGUACCCGCAGAAUAAGCCCCGGCUAACUUCGUGCCAGCAGCCGCGGUAAUACGAAGGGGGCGAGCGUUGUUCGGAAUUACUGGGCGUAAAGGGCGCGUAGGCGGCGAUCCGAGUCAGAUGUGAAAGUCCUGGGCUUAACCUGGGGACUGCAUUUGAUACUGGAUUGCUUGAAUUCGGGAGAGGAUAGCGGAAUUCCCAGUGUAGAGGUGAAAUUCGUAGAUAUUGGGAAGAACACCGGUGGCGAAGGCGGCUAUCUGGACCGACAUUGACGCUGAGGCGCGAAAGCGUGGGGAGCAAACAGGAUUAGAUACCCUGGUAGUCCACCCCGUAAACGAUGAAUGCUAGACGCUGGGGAGCAUGCUCUUCGGUGUCGCAGCUAACGCAUUAAACAUUCCCCCUGGGGAGUA
rnacentral:rRNA from 1 species